rnacentral:rRNA from 1 species
CCUUGUACACACCGCCCGUCACACCAUGGGAGUUGGUUUUACCCGAAGGUGCUGCGCCAACCGCAAGGAGGCAGGCAACCACGGUAGGGUCAGCGACUGGGGUG